rnacentral:piRNA from 1 species
UAGAAAAACCACAUUGUUUACAGCCCUGCCC